UGAGAUGGCAGUUGUGGUGUAAGGAUGUUGAAAGAGAUUUGCAUGUUUGAAAGUAUUCCUGCUUUAAUCAUUGAAAGCAUCUGGCAUAUUGGUCUCAUUACUGGGUCAACUGCUUUAAGUUUCUUCAAGAAGCCCUGAUGCAAGUAAAAGCACUUUAAUCCAAGCCCAGCAGUAUCUGGUUGACCAUCUGAAGCUGUCUGGCAAUUCCAGAGUCCUAAUGUUGGCUUUAUUCCAGAUGUUACCCAACUCUACACAUCUUUGUUCAAGCCCUGGUCAGUCAAACCAGAGGACACAAACUGCAGGAGCUCUGAAAUAUUUUGGAGGUGGGACACAACCAAAUGCAACCAGGCCCAAGUGCCAGUGUUACAGCUGAUGAUACAGCAGAUCCAUCCUCUGCAGGUGAGGAGCACUUACUAGCAUCUGCAUCCACGGAUCCUGCUGUUCCUUCCAUGUCUGUUUCAACCUCUGCAGAUGCAGCAGGUCAUUCUACUUGUGGUCAUUGAGAUCUAUCACAUCUACUCUUCAACUUUCAGCCUACACUAUGGACCAGAAGCUCCUCCAGUUGACCCAGCUAAGUGGUCAUCUAUCCUGUCUGACUCUGGAAGGACUGAUCUGGUAAGCAGAGGGUCACUGCCUAAAAAGGAAAACCUCACAUUCCCUAAAUAAACCUGAUGGCCGACGUUUCCACUACACCUA